rnacentral:misc_RNA from 1 species
UACGUAGGGGGCAAGCGUUGUCCGGAAUUAUUGGGCGUAAGGCGCGCGCAGGCGGUCCUUUAAGUCUGAUGCGAAAUCUUGCGGCUCAACCGCAAGCGGUCAUUGGAAACUGGGGGACUUGAGUACAGGAGAGGAGAGCGGAAUUCCACGUGUAGCGGUGAAAUGCGUAGAUAUGUGGAGGAACACCAGUGGCGAAGGCGACUCUCUGGUCUGUGACUGACGCUGAGGAGCGAAAGCGUGGGGAGCGAACAGG